rnacentral:rRNA from 1 species
CGGCGAGUGAGCGGCAGAGCUCAGAUUUGAAAUCGUGCUUUGCGGCACGAGUUGUAGAUUGCAGGUUGGAGUCUGUGUGGAAGGCGGUGUCCAAGUCCCUUGGAACAGGGCGCCCAGGAGGGUGAGAGCCCCGUGGGAUGCCGGCGGAAGCAGUGAGGCCCUUCUGACGAGUCGAGUUGUUUGGGAAUGCAGCUCCAAGCGGGUGGUAAAUUCCAUCUAAGGCUAAAUACUGGCGAGAGACCGAUAGCGAACAAGUACUGUGAAGGAAAGAUGAAAAGCACUUUGAAAAGAGAGUGAAACAGCACGUGAAAUUGUUGAAAGGGAAGGGUAUUGCGCCCGACAUGGGGAUUGCGCACCGCUGCCUCUCGUGGGCGGCGCUCUGGGCUUUCCCUGGGCCAGCAUCGGUUCUUGCUGCAGGAGAAGGGGUUCUGGAACGUGGCUCUUCGGAGUGUUAUAGCCAGGGCCAGAUGCUGCGUGCGGGGACCGAGGACUGCGGCCGUGUAGGUCACGGAUGCUGGCAGAACGGCGCAACACCGCCCGUCU